rnacentral:rRNA from 1 species
UACGUAGGUGGCAAGCGUUAUCCGGAAUUAUUGGGCGUAAAGGGCGCGUAGGCGGUCUUGCAAGUCUAUGGUUAAAAUUCGGGGCUUAACCCCGUCUUGCCAUAGAAACUGUAAGACUUGAGUACAGGAGAGGUUAGUGAAAUUCCAUGGGUAGCGGUAAAAUGCGUAGAUAUAUGGAGGAACACCAGGGGCGAAAGCAGCUAACUGGCCUGUAACUGACGCUAAGGCGCGAAAGCGUGGGGAGCAAAUAGG